AUGGCGUCUUCCGUUGGUCCUGCUGCUGUGCGACAGAGGCGGUUUUGUUCGGCAUCAGCUACAAAACAGCUAUGGUGGUCGAGUUCAUGGCCGUCGAGCCACGGCUAUGGUGGUCGCGCUGCGUUCAUGGCCAUCGAGCCACGGCUAUGGUGGUCGCGCUGCGUUCAUGGCUAUCGAGCCACGGCUAUGGUGGUCGCGCUGCGUUCAUGGCCAUGUCUGGUCAGGGUUUGGUCUCCUUGCAUAAUGAUGAAGCAGCUGCUAAUCGGGAACCAGCCAUUGGUGUACCGCAAUAAGGUCACCGCCGCCUGCAUGGGCAGAGUCGCCGCCAAGCUUGAGUCAAUGGAGCCCUGCUCCAGCCUCAAGGAUAGGAGAAGGGGUUCAUCGAGCCAGGCAAGGUGCACGGUGGUAGGCAGGCUUGGUCUCCAGCCUCACCGUCUUCUGUUGGCCCCUUUUUGCCAUGUGGCAACGGCGGUGCUGUUAGGAAUCGGCUAA
rnacentral:rRNA from 1 species